GGGCGCGGGGCGGUCUCCAUAGCAACGGCGGCUGCCUGCGGCCUGCGGGUUCUGUGAGGCCUACAGGCUCUGCGAGGCCUGCGGGUUCUGCGGGUUCCCACCCCACCAUGCCCACUGACCGUGUCUUCCAGUGCCACAUCCCCGCAGUUCGUGACCACCUCCCGGUUCGCUGACCCCAGCACCUCCCUCUGGAGAAGGAACUGUUCCUACUACCCUCCCGAACCCCCCCGGCCCGACCCGAGGCCGUCCCCUCUCAUCCUACCUCCCAUACCCAGAGCAGAGGCCGCCCCCCACCUCACCACCACCUCCUCUCAGCUGUAGGGUCUCUCCUGGGCGCUGUGCUGUGCUGCAGACGGACCCAUCCCGUUCCCCCAUUGCUCCCCAUGAGGCCUGGGGGGGCGCUGGGCUGUGGGUGAAUGGCGUUGUCUCUGGCAGCACAUACAGCAAGAUCAAAUGCCAAAUCUUUGGUGUUUGUGAGGAACAAAUGCCCAACAGCCAUCCCAUGGUAUGUCAGUGCUUUGUCUGACUGUAGUGUGAAGGUGUUGCUCAGGACCAGGGACACGUGGAGCUAUCGGUAAGGCUGUGAUUUCUUCUCCUCUGAAUUUGUACAGAGGGAUGAAGGGUGACCUCAUUGCAGCCUUCCAGGACCUACAGGGAGCCUCCAAACAGGAGGGGAGGCAACUGGGGAGUUGCUCUUUACAAAGGUAGGUAAUGGCAGGACAAGGGGAAAA
rnacentral:lncRNA from 1 species